UACGGAGGAUCCAAGCGUUAUCCGGAUUCAUUGGGUUUAAAGGGUGCGUAGGCGGAAUGAUAAGUCAGUGGUGAAAUCCUGCAGCUUAACUGCAGAACUGCCUCUGAUACUGUCAAUCUUGAGUACAUUUGAUGUGGGCGGAAUGUGUCAUGUAGCGGUGAAAUGCAUAGAUAUGACACAGAACACCGAUUGCGAAGGCAGCUCACAAAACUGUAACUGACGCUGAGGCACGAAAGCGUGGGGAUCGAACAGGAUUAGAAACCCCCGUAGUCC
rnacentral:rRNA from 1 species